rnacentral:misc_RNA from 1 species
GUGAAUAGAGAAUUUGUUUCACGGCCAGGGAAAAAUUCUCUCUAUAAAGAGAACAUAGGCCUUUCAUUAACUCACUAAAUUAUUAAUAAAGAAAUAUUCCAAACAUCUUAAAUGAAUUAUACUAAUGAAAUUGAAUUCUAUCCCAUGAUUUGAUCUAAAGACAACCCAAGAUUUCCACUCCAGCCAUUGCAGCUAAAAUAUCCAUUUCUAACUGAGACUAGUAGAUUAUCAACUUAAGCAUUUGCUCCGAAUAUUUCACCUGGAGCAGCGGCAAAAUAUUACCUCAAGAUUACAUCCCUAAUUGGAACAAAAAUCGUCUUCCUAAUCAUUUCCCAAGCUUGUGCUAACUUGAACUGCAUCAGUAUUGAUGGAGGUGAGGCGUGGAGCACGCAAGCAAAACACCUGCCCACAUGUGCAAAUUCCUAGUAAGCAUAGUCCAGAUGUGCAGUAACUGACGUUAUAUGAAGGAAUUUGGCACCCCAGUCCUGAGCUCCAUUUUCACUGUAUCACACAAGGCAAGUUUUACCCUGGCUAUACGAGUGGCAGAAACCGUUCUUGCAGGUUAUAGCUUCUACGUUACUGUCCCAUUUGACCAGUACAAAGCUAGAAAAAUGAGAAUCACACCUUGGCAGAGAAAUUUUGAUUCUCACAUUUUCUUCUUAGUGAUUCAACUCUUUCUUGUAUGAUAGCAGCACAUUCAGCCCCACCACUUUUUUGCACAUAGGAGAAUAUAUCAUGAUACAUCCCAUUUGAAGGUUGAAUUCCAGCAUCCACCAUCCAUUCCAAUACCUCAAUAUAUUUUCUCCAAUUUCCAACAGCCACAAGAUUCUUCAACAAGAUUGAAUGAGUGUUGAAGUUUAUUUCAGCACCUGAUUUUGUGAUCUUGUAAAACAACUUCAUCAUAAACUCAAUCUUUCCACUUUUUCCAAGAAGAUGAAGAAGCUGAUUCAAAAGUCCAAUAGAAACUACUGAGAAUGAAGGUUCCAUCAAUUUCACCAAGUUAAUUGUUCUUCUCCAAUCUCGUAAUAGGCUACAGGCAGAAACCAUUUCAAAGAAAAUGGCAUCACUGAAUGGGAUUUCUCUCUCUUUCAUAAAAUCCGCCAGAAUAAGAACCAUUGUUGGCUUGCCUCCUUUAUUGAAUGCUCUCAUCAAAGCCGAACAUGCAAUUGUAUCUGGCUGGAUAUUAUAAUCUUCCAUUUCUUGAAGUAGACUACAUGCUUUUUCCCAGUAUUUUGCAGCAUUGUAAGCAUGUAGCAUUGUGGUAAAAGUAAUUACAUCAGGACAGCAACCAGCUGCCUUCAUCAUAUCGAAAAUAGAUUCUGCUUCUUUGAUUUGGCCCUGCUUACUGUAGGCACAUAAAAUAGAUGAGUAAACCUCUCUGGUCAAAGGAAUUUUCAGAUCCAUCAUAUCUGCAUAAAACUCAAGUGCCUCAUCAUACUUUGACAUCUUGCAGCAACCACUAAUCAAGACAGUAUAAGUAACAGAAUCAGUUGCUACUUUCUUCUUUCUCAUGGAUUUGUACAAAGCCACAGCCUUUUCAUAUUCGCCCACAUUCAUAUAGCUUCCAAUAGCUGAAUUAUAUGCAAUUGUGUUGAAUUCAAUGCCACGCAUUUUGGCGGCUGAAAGCACUGCAUCAACAUUCACCUUUUGACCAUAGCGGCCACAAGCUGCCAAAAGAGUACAUAUGGAGACAAUGUUUGGGUGAAUACCAUCCUGCUCCAUUUCCCGCAAAACUUCCACAGCUUCACCUAAGAGACCAUUCGAACCAUAAGCAUCAAUCAGUGCAUUGUAGCUGACAACAUUUGGCUUCAUCUUGUCUCUCUUCAUCAUGUUAAAUAUUUCCCUUGCUUUUCUAGGUUGUUUUGAUCUUCCAUAGGAACUAAGCAGGGAAGUAUAAGACACUACAUCAGGGUGAAAUCCACUUGUUUUAAUUUCAUUAAAAAUUGACAAUGCCUCUUCACUCAUUCCAUGAGAAGCAUAUGCUCCUAUCAGUGCAUUAUACGAAACAAUAUUGGGCUUCAGACCCUCGGCAAGCAUAAUAUUGAAGACAGCCUUACAAUUUUCAAUCUGCCCACUCACAGAGUACAAAUGGAUGAUGCUUGUGAAUGUUACAAUAUCUGGGUGGCACUCUGCUCUCUGCUCCCUCAUGGAAUUGAAAAUAUCAAGAGCUUUCUCAUAUUGACCAAGCUUUACUAAGCAAUAAAUCACAAUGUUAAGGGUGGUUGUAUCGGGACGAAUAUCUGUUCCUUUCAUUAAUUCAUAAUAUGACAAAGCUUUUAGAUGCUGACCACCAGUCUUAUAUGCAGAUAAAACAAUAUUGUGAGUCACCAGAUCUGGACCAACUCCAUUUUCUGUCAUUUUCUUGCAGACUUUCAGAGCUUCUCUCCAAUUUCCAGUAGAUCCACAAGCAUUGAUCAAGUUAUUAUAUGUCGACCGGCUAGGGGGAAUCUGCAGGAAUUGGAAUGUUAAGGUCACAUACAUCUUUUCCAUAUGACAUGAAAUUCAUUAAAAGGUUUAAAAUGUAAAUCAUAUGUACACAUCAUUUAGAAAACAGAAGAACAAGAUGAUUAUCUCUUUCGAAUAGAAGUACUUCCUGCACAGAGAGAGGAACUCAAGAAGGAUAAUUGCAUUGGACAACUUUCUUUUAGGCAGCACCAAUUUAAAAAAAUAUAGAGAAUACAGAAGAUAACAUAUCUAUAAAAACUCCAUUCAUACAAAAUGCAUUAUAUCCAUCUAAAUUAUCAGUCCAUAUUCCAGACCUUCCAAAGUUCCAUGUCCACCAGUUCAACAAUUGCACAAACCUUAGAUGACUGGCAGCCACACUAUCAUAUCAACAAAUGCCACUCAAAUCUCCAUUCCCAAAUAGCUAUUGUAGAAUUGAAAUACCAUCAAAUAUGACAUUUAUAAAACAAAUAAUCCUCUGCAAACAUUGAUGAUUACAGUAAGUCAGCAACUGAUCCCCAAUGUUACAUGUUAGCAUUGCAAACAUUUCUAUGCACAUGCCAUUUUAACGUGAAAAUAAGGAGGCUCACAUCAAAUCAGACCACUAAGAUUGAUUAGGGAAGGAGAAAUCAAAUACACACAGCUUCACGCAGCAUGUCAUCCAUUAUAUUCAUAGCCCAACGCCAUUGACCCGCUCUUCCAUGUGCAUUGAUAAGAGCAUUGUAAGUUUCAGCAUCUGGCUUGCACCUCCAUUCUUGCAUCUCAAAAAACAAACCACGCGCCUGAUCAGUGCGAUUAUAUCUGGCAUGUAGUCUGAUCAUCAUAUUGUAUAUAUCAUUACAAGCACAAUAAUUCUUUUGAUGUUUCAUCCAAUUGAAUGCUAGAAUGCUAUGUUCCAAUGAGCCCCUUUGCGUUAUCUCUUUGAUAAGACAAGGGAAAUUCUUUCGGGCGAAACGGCCGACCCAGUGGUUUAGGAGACGCUCAACGUCAACAGAUUUGGGGUCGAGCUGGAGAAUUUUAUCGACGACCUGAGACAGACUCCAGUCCUUCUGGAACCUGUCGCCUUCGACUUUUAAACGGUAUCGUUUCUGAAGGUCGGCUUUCCUGAGUCCAGAGACUUGAGUAGAGACAUGGUGCUGGCCGGUGUCAUAGUCCACGAAUACCGACUUCUUCUCCUCAAAAGCUGCAUUGUUUUUCUUUUUCUUGCAGAGGAUUUUUGAGUUGGAGAGCGUUGGUGAGGGGCUCAGCAGGGGCCGGUUGUAGCAGAGAUAGUUUAUCGCCGCCAUUUUUGGUGGAUAGGAAAGUAAGCGGGAGCUCCACCGUGUGUGUAUUAUCA